UUAAGCGACUAAGCGUACACGGUGGAUGCCCUGGCAGUCAGAGGCGAUGAAGGACGUGCUAAUCUGCGAUAAGCGUCGGUAAGGUGAUAUGAACCGUUAUAACCGGCGAUUUCCGAAUGGGGAAACCCAGUGUGUUUCGACACACUAUCAUUAACUGAAUCCAUAGGUUAAUGAGGCGAACCGGGGGAACUGAAACAUCUAAGUACCCCGAGGAAAAGAAAUCAACCGAGAUUCUCCCAGUAGCGGCGAGCGAACGGGGAGCAGCCCAGAGCCUGAAUCAGUGUGUGUGUUAGUGGAAGCGUCUGGAAAGGCGCGCGAUACAGGGUGACAGCCCCGUACACAAAAAUGCACAUGCUGUGAGCUCGAUGAGUAGGGCGGGACACGUGGUAUCCUGUCUGAAUAUGGGGGACCAUCCUCCAAGGCUAAAUACUCCUGACUGACCGAUAGUGAACCAGUACCGUGAGGGAAAGGCGAAAAGAACCCCGGCGAGGGGAGUGAAAAAGAACCUGAAACCGUGUACGUACAAGCAGUGGGAGCACGCUUAGGCGUGUGACUGCGUACCUUUUGUAUAAUGGGUCAGCGACUUAUAUUCUGUAGCAAGGUUAACCGAAUAGGGGAGCCGAAGGGAAACCGAGUCUUAACUGGGCGUUAAGUUGCAGGGUAUAGACCCGAAACCCGGUGAUCUAGCCAUGGGCAGGUUGAAGGUUGGGUAACACUAACUGGAGGACCGAACCGACUAAUGUUGAAAAAUUAGCGGAUGACUUGUGGCUGGGGGUGAAAGGCCAAUCAAACCGGGAGAUAGCUGGUUCUCCCCGAAAGCUAUUUAGGUAGCGCCUCGUGAAUUCAUCUCCGGGGGUAGAGCACUGUUUCGGCAAGGGGGUCAUCCCGACUUACCAACCCGAUGCAAACUGCGAAUACCGGAGAAUGUUAUCACGGGAGACACACGGCGGGUGCUAACGUCCGUCGUGAAGAGGGAAACAACCCAGACCGCCAGCUAAGGUCCCAAAGUCAUGGUUAAGUGGGAAACGAUGUGGGAAGGCCCAGACAGCCAGGAUGUUGGCUUAGAAGCAGCCAUCAUUUAAAGAAAGCGUAAUAGCUCACUGGUCGAGUCGGCCUGCGCGGAAGAUGUAACGGGGCUAAACCAUGCACCGAAGCUGCGGCAGCGACACUAUGUGUUGUUGGGUAGGGGAGCGUUCUGUAAGCCUGUGAAGGUGUGCUGUGAGGCAUGCUGGAGGUAUCAGAAGUGCGAAUGCUGACAUAAGUAACGAUAAAGCGGGUGAAAAGCCCGCUCGCCGGAAGACCAAGGGUUCCUGUCCAACGUUAAUCGGGGCAGGGUGAGUCGACCCCUAAGGCGAGGCCGAAAGGCGUAGUCGAUGGGAAACAGGUUAAUAUUCCUGUACUUGGUGUUACUGCGAAGGGGGACGGAGAAGGCUAUGUUGGCCGGGCGACGGUUGUCCCGGUUUAAGCGUGUAGGCUGGUUUUCCAGGCAAAUCCGGAAAAUCAAGGCUGAGGCGUGAUGACGAGGCACUACGGUGCUGAAGCAACAAAUGCCCUGCUUCCAGGAAAAGCCUCUAAGCAUCAGGUAACAUCAAAUCGUACCCCAAACCGACACAGGUGGUCAGGUAGAGAAUACCAAGGCGCUUGAGAGAACUCGGGUGAAGGAACUAGGCAAAAUGGUGCCGUAACUUCGGGAGAAGGCACGCUGAUAUGUAGGUGAAGUCCCUCGCGGAUGGAGCUGAAAUCAGUCGAAGAUACCAGCUGGCUGCAACUGUUUAUUAAAAACACAGCACUGUGCAAACACGAAAGUGGACGUAUACGGUGUGACGCCUGCCCGGUGCCGGAAGGUUAAUUGAUGGGGUUAGCCGCAAGGCGAAGCUCUUGAUCGAAGCCCCGGUAAACGGCGGCCGUAACUAUAACGGUCCUAAGGUAGCGAAAUUCCUUGUCGGGUAAGUUCCGACCUGCACGAAUGGCGUAAUGAUGGCCAGGCUGUCUCCACCCGAGACUCAGUGAAAUUGAACUCGCUGUGAAGAUGCAGUGUACCCGCGGCAAGACGGAAAGACCCCGUGAACCUUUACUAUAGCUUGACACUGAACAUUGAGCCUUGAUGUGUAGGAUAGGUGGGAGGCUUUGAAGUGUGGACGCCAGUCUGCAUGGAGCCGACCUUGAAAUACCACCCUUUAAUGUUUGAUGUUCUAACGUUGACCCGUAAUCCGGGUUGCGGACAGUGUCUGGUGGGUAGUUUGACUGGGGCGGUCUCCUCCUAAAGAGUAACGGAGGAGCACGAAGGUUGGCUAAUCCUGGUCGGACAUCAGGAGGUUAGUGCAAUGGCAUAAGCCAGCUUGACUGCGAGCGUGACGGCGCGAGCAGGUGCGAAAGCAGGUCAUAGUGAUCCGGUGGUUCUGAAUGGAAGGGCCAUCGCUCAACGGAUAAAAGGUACUCCGGGGAUAACAGGCUGAUACCGCCCAAGAGUUCAUAUCGACGGCGGUGUUUGGCACCUCGAUGUCGGCUCAUCACAUCCUGGGGCUGAAGUAGGUCCCAAGGGUAUGGCUGUUCGCCAUUUAAAGUGGUACGCGAGCUGGGUUUAGAACGUCGUGAGACAGUUCGGUCCCUAUCUGCCGUGGGCGCUGGAGAACUGAGGGGGGCUGCUCCUAGUACGAGAGGACCGGAGUGGACGCAUCACUGGUGUUCGGGUUGUCAUGCCAAUGGCACUGCCCGGUAGCUAAAUGCGGAAGAGAUAAGUGCUGAAAGCAUCUAAGCACGAAACUUGCCCCGAGAUGAGUUCUCCCUGACUCCUUGAGAGUCCUGAAGGAACGUUGAAGACGACGACGUUGAUAGGCCGGGUGUGUAAGCGCAGCGAUGCGUUGAGCUAACCGGUACUAAUGAACCGUGAGGCUUAACCUU
rnacentral:rRNA from 1 species